CCCCUAGAUGUUCUGGGCCGCACGCGCGCUAAACUGAACAGUUCAACAAGUCUUAACCUUGGCCGAUAGGUCUGGGUAAUCUUUGAACGCUGUUCGUGAUUGGGAUAGACCUUUGCAAUUAUGGGUCUUCAACGAGGAAUUCCUAGUAAACGCAAGUCAUCAGCUUGCAUUGAUUACGUCCCUGCCCUUUGUACACACCGCCCGUCGCACCUACCGAUUGAAUGGUCCGGUGAAAUCUCGGGACGGCGGCUUGGUCGCUUGCGUCCGACUGCUGAAACUUGAUUAAACCAUAUCAUUUAGAGGAAGGUGAAGUCGUANCA
rnacentral:rRNA from 1 species